rnacentral:lncRNA from 12 species
GCGCUCCAGGCUCCCGAAGGGAAAGCGGGCGCGGGGCUCCCCGGGGCUGAGCGCGCUCCUCGGGGCGGGGGGGGCGGCUCCCCAGGGGCUGAGCGCGCUCCUCGGGGCAGGGGGGGCUCCCCCGGGGCUGAGCGCGCUCCUCGGGGCGGGGGGCUCCCCCGGGGCUGAGCGCGCUCCUCGGGGCGGGAGGGCUCCCCAGGGGGCCGACGGGUCCUCCGCGUCCCGGGCGCUCGGCGGCGGCCCCCUCCACACCCCGCGGGCCCCCGGACCCCGCCGGGCUGCUGCACCCCCUCCCCUUCGGGGGCGCCUCUGGCGCGGAGCGGGGAACCGGAGGCCCGCAGAAGUGGAAGCCCCGGAGAGACUUUAAGCAGCGGGACCCCGGGACUCCUCCGCAAGAGAGACACAAAGCUUCGGGGCUGGAGGAGCUGAGCUGAGGAUCAGCACGUUGGAGGGGACCGGGAACUCCGCACACAAAGGACGCUCCACUUGGCUGGCAGCCACGGUGUCACGAGUGGAGAAGGGGCAGGAUGGGGGGUGAUGAAAGAGGUGAGGGGUGAGGAGAGUAAGCGCUAAAGUGUGUUGGAGAGGCAGGUGGACAGGGGUGUUUGAAGCUUCUUACUCGGGAACUGCGCGAAGCGAAGCCACUGCCCAACUUACUUCCCCAGGAACAGUGUCACCUCCAGAAUGCUUCCAUCCCUCCGGGACAUCUAUCUUCUCCAAGCCCCAACCAUGAAAGAAACUUCCAAAUUAGCAGAUAUCGCUGAGAACCUAAGUUGUUCCAGGCACUGAUAGAGAGGUGUGAGUAGCAUGGUAUAAAAAGUCAUGAACGAAUUCACAUGAGGCAGUAGAAGAUGCACGUCUUCUCAUGGGAGAACUUCUAGAGGACUAAAGGUGAGGUUACUGGCCUCUUUUAUUCUUUUCAUGAUGCCCACCCAUUCCUGUGAAUGACUCCUGUAGCAUCACUAAAAUGUCAUCUCCAGCUUGUUCUCCAGGAAGAAUGAACGUGUGGAAGCUGGCAUUUGAUUUCUUCCUGCUGGCUACUGACCUUAGAGAGACAGCAUGGACAGUGUGGAUACUCACUCUAACAUCAGGCAUGCUAUCAGAAAAGAGACAGAUAUGGAGGUUCUUGUACCAACAAGACUGUAUACUAUAUACUAGACAUUCUGGUGACCUCAACAAAAACAACAAUGACAACAACUCUUGUCAGAGACCAAACUGCCAGAAACUAAGGAUGAAAAGAUCACCCCUCCUCCCUAGUCUUCUUCUGUGUCCCUGGGGUUUCUUUGGCAGGAAUGUUUUAUAUAUUACCUCAGGAGACCUGUAG